CUAUCUCUGCCAUGGCAGCUCCGACGGCUUAUUUAUCCAAUUAACAUUUGAACCGAUCGAUCGCCCUGCUAGGAAUUAGAAGGCAGCCUCGAUAAGGAAGAAGGCCACAGAGGUUGGCACCCAAGUCGACGAGGUCGAGACGGCCAUGGAGCACCACAGGGCGAGGCGGCGGCAGAGGGUCAGAUGGAGGAGAUGAAGCCGUGUAGGGCGGCAGCGGAGGAGAGCGGGUUUCUGGAUCGGGUCUUCUUCUUUCUCAUUCACAACGCCAUCGUCGUAGUUGAAGGAGAAGAUCGGGUCUUCUUCUUUCUCGUUCACAACACCGUCACUGUUCUCUGACGCUAUCAUUCUGGC
rnacentral:lncRNA from 1 species